rnacentral:rRNA from 1 species
UACGGGGGAUGCAAGCGUUAUCCGGAAUCAUUGGGCGUAAAGCGCCUGUAGGUUGUUUACUAAGUCUGUUGUUAAAGACUAGGGCUUAACCCUAGAAAAGCAAUGGAAACUUGUAGACUAGAGUAUGGCAGGGGUAGAGGGAAUUUCUAGUGUAGCGGUGAAAUGCGUAGAUAUUAGAAAGAACACCAGUGGCGAAAGCGCUCUACUGGACCAUUACUGACACUCAGAGGCGAAAGCCAGGGGAGCGAAAGGGAUUAGAUACCCCUGUAGUCCUGGCCGUAAACGAUGAACACUAGGUGUCGGGGGAUCGCCCCGGUGUCGUAGCUAACGCGUUAAGUGUUCCGCCUGGGGAGUACGCACGCAAGUGUG